AUCGUAAUGCAAACGUAUUGAACCUAACUUACUUUUAACGCAGUAUUUGGCACAACAAAAUGUUCUCUUCAGAGCUAAGGGUUGUAACUAAAAUGCUAUUAUUAUCUGUACUUCUAUUAUAUUUUACAUCAAAAGUAAUAAGUGCUCCUGUAUUUGGGGAUGUAUCUGAAACCAAAGAGUCAUGCGGUCUGAACUUCAACUUUGCUUCUAUACAGGAAUGCAAAGGAUAACCGUGUUAUAUGUUGUUUUGUACACAUUUGUACUUUUACAAGGGCGAAAAUUAAAUAAAGAAUAUUAAU